rnacentral:rRNA from 1 species
AUUGAACGCUGGCGGCAGGCCUAACACAUGCAAGUCGAACGAGUGGCGGACGGGUGAGUAAUGUCUGGGAAACUGCCUGAUGGAGGGGGAUAACUACUGGAAACGGUAGCUACUACCGCAUACCAUCAGAUGUGCCCACAGGGGAUUAGCUAGUAGGUGAGGUAACGGCUCACCAAGGCGACGAUCCCUAGCUGGUCUGAGAGGAUGACCAGCCACACUGGGACUGAGACACGGCCCAGACUCCUACGGGAGGCAGCAGUGGGGAAUAUUGCACAAUGGGCGCAAGCCUGAUGCAGCCAUGCCGCGUGUAUGAAGAAGGCCUUCGGGUUGUAAAGUACUUUCAGUCGGGAGGCGUUACCGACAGAAGAAGCACCGGCUAACUCCGUGCCAGCCGCCGCGGUAAUUC